rnacentral:rRNA from 1 species
UACAGGGGGUGCUAGCGUUGUUCGGAAUUACUGGGCGUAAAGGGCGCGUAGGCGGCUUAACAAGUCAGGUGUGAAAUCUCUGGGCUUAACCCGGAAAUUGCCAUUGAUACUAUAUAUCUUGAAUGCUGUGGAGGUAAGCGGAAUAUGUCAUGUAGCGGUGAAAUGCUUAGAGAUGACAUAGAACACCUAUUGCGAAGGCAGCUUACUACGCAGAGAUUGACGCUCAUGCACGAAAGCGUGGGGAUCAAACAGG